UGGGGAAUUUUGGACAAUGGACGCAAGUCUGAUCCAGCCAUGCCGCGUGCGGGAAGAAGGCCUUCGGGUUGUAAACUUCUUUUAUUUGGGACGAAACACUCUUUAUCUAAAGAGCUUGACGGUACCAGAUGAAUAAGCACCGGCUAACUACGUGCCAGCAGCCGCGGUAAUACGUAGGGUGCGAGCGUUAAUCGGAAUUACUGGGCGUAAAGCGUGCGCAGGCGGUUAUAUAAGACAGAUGUGAAAUCCCCGGGCUCAACCUGGGAUCUGCAUUUGUGACUGUAUAGCUAGAGUACGGCAGAGGGGGAUGGAAUUCCGCGUGUAGCAGUGAAAUGCGUAGAUAUGCGGAGGAACACCGAUGGCGAAGGCAAUCCCCUGGGCCUGUACUGACGCUCAUGCACGAAAGCGUGGGGAGCAAACA
rnacentral:rRNA from 1 species